AUGAACGCUAGCUACAGGCUUAACACAUGCAAGUCGAGGGGCAGCAUGUUGGUUGCUUGCAACCAACGAUGGCGACCGGCGCACGGGUGAGUAACGCGUAUCCAACCUACCCUUGUCCAUCGGAUAACCCGUCGAAAGGCGGCCUAACACGAUAUGCGGUUCACAGCAGGCAUCUAACGUGAACGAAAUGUGAAGGAGAAGGAUGGGGAUGCGUCUGAUUAGCUUGUUGGCGGGGUAACGGCCCACCAAGGCUACGAUCAGUAGGGGUUCUGAGAGGAAGGUCCCCCACAUUGGAACUGAGACACGGUCCAAACUCCUACGGGAGGCAGCAGUGAGGAAUAUUGGUCAAUGGACGAGAGUCUGAACCAGCCAAGUAGCGUGCAGGAUGACGGCCCUAUGGGUUGUAAACUGCUUUUAUAGGGGGAUAAAGUGUGCCACGUGUGGCAUAUUGCAGGUACCCUAUGAAUAAGGACCGGCUAAUUCCGUGCCAGCAGCCGCGGUAAUACGGAAGGUCCAGGCGUUAUCCGGAUUUAUUGGGUUUAAAGGGAGCGUAGGCCGUUUGGUAAGCGUGUUGCGAAAUGUCGGGGCUCAACCUGGGCAUUGCAGCGCGAACUGCCAGACUUGAGUGCGCAGGAAGUAGGCGGAAUUCGUCGUGUAGCGGUGAAAUGCUUAGAUAUGACGAAGAACUCCGAUUGCGAAGGCAGCCUGCUGUAGCGCAACUGACGCUGAAGCUCGAAAGCGUGGGUAUCGAACAGGAUUAGAUACCCUGGUAGUCCACGCGGUAAACGAUGGAUGCUCGCUGUUUGCGUCUGACGUAAGCGGCCAAGCGAAAGCGUUAAGCAUCCCACCUGGGGAGUACGCCGGCAACGGUGAAACUCAAAGGAAUUGACG
rnacentral:rRNA from 1 species